AUUGAACGCUGGCGGCAGGCCUAACACAUGCAAGUCGAGCGAGCGGCGGACGGGUGAGUAAUGUAUGGGGACUGCCCGAUAGAGGGGGAUAACUACUGGAAACGGUGGCUAAUACCGCAUACUGUCGGAUGACCCAUAUGGGGUUGGCUAGUGAGUAAGGUAAUGGCUUACCUAGUCGACGAUCCCUAGCCGGUCUGAGAGGCUGAUCAGCCACACUGGGACGGUGACACGGCCCAGAGUCCGACGGAGGCAGCAGUGGGGCAGAGUGCACAAUGGGCGCAAGCCUGAUGCAGCCAUGCCGCGUGGAUGAAGAAGGCCCUAGGGUUGUAAAGUACUUUCAGUCUGGAGGCGGUACCGACAGAAGAAGCACCGGCUAACUCCGUGCCAGCAGCCGCGGUAAUAC
rnacentral:rRNA from 1 species